AGCCCGAUGCGGGGCUCGAUCCCAGGACCCUGGUGUCAUGACCUGAGCCGAAGGCAGAUGCUUCACUGACUGAGCCACCAGGCUCCCCUCCAAGGACAUGUUAAACAAUACUUGGAUACAUGCUAGGCGCUGGGGGUCCAGAGCUGAUAAGACCUGGCUCCUUUUUUUUCUUUUUAUCCCCCCUUCUUUUUUUUAAAUUGUGAGUGAUCUCUAAGCCCAGCGUAUAGAUUUAAACUCACAGCCCUGAGAUCAAGAGAUGCAUGUUCCACUGACUGAGCCAGCCGGGUGCUCAGGAUCCGGUUCUUGCUCCCAAGGAGCUCACCAUGUCCAGAAGAGACAGACAGAAACACCCAUGCCCGCAUCAGAGCAGGAAGGAGCCCGUCUGAGUGCUGCUGGGGGACCCAGGGGAGGGUUUGGCGGCUGACCUCUGGGCUCACUUUAUGAAGGCCGGGGACGGCUGCCAGCGCGGGACAGCUGCCGCCGUGGGACAGUCUCACGGAGACUAGUACUGUUCUAGUGAGAGCUGGAGAAUUAACUGGACGGGAGGUGGGCCCAGACGCUGCCUCAUCAGGCUGCAGAGCAGACACCGGAGUUGGGACCCAGGGCACCCACAGCAGAGGGGGCGUGGGGCACGACGCGUCUCAGGAAGAGCUCACCAAAGUGGAGGGCAAGGUGCCUGGGUGGCUCAGGUGGUUAAGUGUCUGCCUUCAGCUGAGAUCAUGAUCCUGGG